rnacentral:lncRNA from 13 species
AUGAGGAAGUCGGCCGCAGAGGCGGAAACCGGGCCGGGUGCAAGUUCUGCGGCGGGACGGGCCGACUCUGACUCAGGAGGACGCCCUGACAGCUGCCAAACGGUGCCCGCUGCCCGUUACCUCCGUGCCUCAGACGCCGGGAACUUCCACUGGAGCCGCUGCCCCGGGCUCCCAAGCCGUGCGGCUGCGUCCCGGGGACCGCGGCUCCAGAGGGGGUUAAAAAGUUUGCCCGAGUCGGGCCUGGGCGACUCAAGGCGAGGGCGGGGCGCGUGCCCCAGAGGCAGGGGGAGGUCGGCUCCGGUGCCCAGUCGCGGGAACGCGCCGGGGGGCACGAGGGGGCGCCGGGGAGCGCCGAGUGCCGGGGCUGCCCCUGCACCCCGAGGCCUCGCAGCCGGCGGCGCCCUCCCGGAGCGCCCGCGCGGGGGUCCCGGUGCCCCUGGGCAGGACGCAGUGCCGGGCCCGGGUCUCCGGCGUUCGCGCCCGCCCACGCGGGUGGCGGGCCGCACCGAGGCCAAGAACCACAAGUCUACACGGAGGCCGCGCGUCUCGCCCCCGCCCGCCUGCCCGGGGCGGGACCGCGGUGGGGCUCGCUCACCUGAACCUGGAUCUGCCCGGGGAACAGGCGCUGCUUCUCCCGAGAGGACUUUCUCGAGCGCUCGGGCGGCGGCCGGGUGGGGCAAGCGCACGAGGCGGGAGCUGCAGCAGGUCAGCCUCGCUCAGACUUCCGUGCCCUGCCCAGGAACCGCGGUGAUCUGCGCGCCUCACCGCACCCAGCUCGGCUCCUCGCCGCCUUCCCGCCCCGCCCUCGCAGCCGCGGGCCCAUUCCCAGCCGGGAGCCGGCUCCGGGGCGGAGCCUGGGGAACAAUUCCGCCCCCUUCCUGCCUCACCCACUGCAGACCGCGCCUGAUCUUGAUGGGCGGACAUAUUGGCCUUUGGGAACGGGGGGUGGGCGGAGCCUCUGCGGCCAGAGGGGUGGAGAUUCAUCCUCUUUCGCCCCCACCUUCGCCCGCUCCACUUUCCCCCGCGCUUCCUAGGCGGGAGCCCCGCCCUCUGGGGCGGGUCCAACGGACAGCCCAGUUCUAG